rnacentral:rRNA from 1 species
AAUAUGUCACCUGGAACAUGGGACAUUGAAAAGACAAUAGCAAUGUGUGUCCAAGAAGAGGACAGACUCAAAGCCACACAUGGUGGUUCAAUCAACUAUGUGAAGGAUUGGAAGAAAAAGAACUACAAUCAAAACAUCAAAAGUUCUCCUUCAAAGAAUGGAAAAGCCCCCUAUCAGCAUCAGCAUAAGCAACAGCCUUUCUCAGUGGACAAAGACAUGUGUCUCCACUGCAAGCAGAAAGGGCAUUACAAGAAAGACUGCGCUGCUUGGCUGAAGUCAGUCAUGGAAAAAAGAGGUAACAAUAUAGUUUCAUUUGUCAAUGAAUCCUUGUAUACACAGUUUUCAAAAUCCACUUGGUGGAAUGAUUCCGGAGCAACUGUUCAUGUUGCAAAUUCUUUACAGGGAUUCCAUUCGACGCGAACUACGCUAAGAAGCGAAAGACGCAUUGAAGUGGCAAACGGAGUUGAAGCAGAAGUUGAAGCUGUCGGUGAUAUCUCCUUGGAGUUAGCUGGCGGAUUCAAUCUUCUACUUGGAGAUGUUUUAUUUGUCCCAUCAUGUCAUAGAAACUUAAUUAGUGUUUCUUGCUUGGACAAAGAUAAUUAUGAAUGUCAUUUU